UUUUGACCUCGGAUCAGGUAGGGAUACCCGCUGAAC
rnacentral:rRNA from 1 species